rnacentral:rRNA from 1 species
AGAGCGAACGCUGGCGGCAGGCCUAAUACAUGCAAGUCGAACGGAUCCUUCGGGAUUAGUGGCGGACGGGUGAGUAACACGUGGGAACGUGCCCUUUGGUUCGGAACAACUCAGGGAAACUUGAGCUAAUACCGAAUGUGCCCUUCGGGGGAAAGAUUUAUCGCCAUUGGAGCGGCCCGCGUCUGAUUAGCUAGUUGGUGGGGUAAAGGCCCACCAAGGCGACGAUCAGUAGCUGGUCUGAGAGGAUGAUCAGCCACACUGGGACUGAGACACGGCCCAGACUCCUACGGGAGGCAGCAGUAGGGAAUCUUGCGCAAUGGGCGAAAGCCUGACGCAGCCAUGCCGCGUGAAUGAUGAAGGUCUUAGGAUUGUAAAAUUCUUUCAGCGGGGACGAUAAUGACGGUACCGCAGAAGAAGCCCCGGCUAACUUCGUGCCAGCAGCCGC